rnacentral:rRNA from 1 species
CAGCCGCCGCGGUAAUACGUAGGGGGCAAGCGUUGUCCGGAAUUAUUGGGCGUAAAGCGCGCGCAGGCGGUUCUUUAAGUCUGAUGUGAAAUCUUGCGGCUCAACCGCAAGCGGUCAUUGGAAACUGGAGAACUUGAGGACAGAAGAGGAGAGUGGAAUUCCACGUGUAGCGGUGAAAUGCGUAGAGAUGUGGAGGAACACCAGUGGCGAAGGCGACUCUCUGGUCUGUAACUGACGCUGAGGCGCGAAAGCGUGGGUAGCGAACAGGAUUAGAUACCCUGGUAGUCCACGCCGUAAACGAUGAGUGCUAGGUGUUAGGGGGUUUCCGCCCCUUAGUGCUGGCGUUAACGCAUUAAGCACUCCGCCUGGGGAGUACGGCCGCAAGGCUGAAACUCAAAAGAAUUGACGGGGACCCGCACAAGCGGUGGAGCAUGUGGUUUAAUUCGAAGCAACGCGAAGAACCUUACCAGGUCUUGACAUCCCGCUGACCGCUAUGGAGACAUAGCUUUCCCUUCGGGGACAGCGGUGACAGGUGGUGCAUGGCC